rnacentral:rRNA from 1 species
AGAGUUUGAUCCUGGCUCAGGACGAACGCUGGCGGCGUGCUUAACACAUGCAAGUCAAGGGGGCCCGCAAGGGCAACCGGCGAACGGGUGCGUAACACGUGAGCAAGCUUCCGAUUUGUGGGGGAUAGCCGGCCCAACGGCCGGGUAAUACCGCAUACGUUCAUCGAGCGGCAUCGCUUGGUGAGGAAACCUCCGGGGCAAAUCGAGGUGCUCGCGGCCUAUCAGCUAGUUGGUGAGGUAACGGCUCACCAAGGCGACGACGGGUAGCUGGUCUGAGAGGAUGGCCAGCCACAUUGGGACUGCGACACGGCCCAGACUCCUACGGGAGGCAGCAGUGGGGAAUAUUGCGCAAUGGACGAAAGUCUGACGCAGCGACGCCGCGUGUGGGAUGAAGCCUUUCGGGGCGUAAACCACUGUUGCCCGGGACGAACCUCCCCAUUCGUGGGGACUGACGGUACCGGGUGAGGAAGCACCGGCUAACUCUGUGCCAGCAGCCGCGGUAAUACAGAGGGUGCGAGCGUUGUCCGGAAUCACUGGGCGUAAAGGGCGCGUAGGUGGCUGGGUAAGCGUGUGGUGAAAGUCCGGGGCUCAACCCCGGAUCUGCCGUGCGAACUGCCGAGCUCGAGCGAUGUAGAGGCAGGUGGAAUUUCGGGUGUAGCGGUGGAAUGCGUAGAGAUCCGAAAGAACACCAGUGGCGAAGGCGGCCUGCUGGGCAUUUGCUGACACUGAGGCGCGACAGCGUGGGGAGCAAACAGGAUUAGAUACCCUGGUAGUCCACGCCGUAAACGAUGGGUACUAGGUGUCUGGGGGAGCGACUCCCUGGGUGCCGACGCUAACGCAUGAGUACCCCGCCUGGGGAGUACGGCCGCAAGGCUGAACUCAAAGGAAUUGACGG